rnacentral:rRNA from 1 species
UUCCGUAGGUGAACCUGCGGAAGGAUCAUUGUCGAAACUU